CCCUAGUAUUAGUUUAAUUAGAUAUAUUAGUAAGAGAUUGAAAUUAAAAAUUUUUGGCGGUUAAUUUAUUUUUAGAGGAGCUUGUUUUGAGAAAUUACUCUUUGUAUUUUAUUUAUGGGAGUUUAUUUAUCUCCGUUAUAAGAUAGUGAAGUUUAGGAAACUUAUGAGUUUUAUUUCAGGUCAAGAUGUAGCGAUUGUAAGUUAAAAUUAGCUACAUUUAUAUAAUAGACGGAUUAAGGAUUAAGGUAAAUUUAUUACGAAGUUGAAUUUAGUUGUAAUACGUUUUAUAAUAAAUGUACGAAUAAUCAAAAUUAAUGUA
rnacentral:rRNA from 1 species